rnacentral:rRNA from 1 species
CGGACGGGGGAGUAAUGUCUGGGAAACUGCCCGAUGGAGGGGGGUAACUACUGGAAACGGUAGCUAAUACCGCAUAACGUCGCAAGACCAAAGAGGGGACCUUCGGGCCUCUUGCCAUCGGAUGUGCCCAGAUGGGAUUAGCUAGUAGGUGGGGUAACGGCUCACCUAGGCGACGAUCCCUAGCUGGUCUGAGAGGAUGACCAGCCACACUGGAACUGAGACACGGUCCAG